UAGGGAAUCUUCCGCAAUGGACGCAAGUCUGACGGAGCAACGCCGCGUGAGUGAAGAAGGUUUUCGGAUCGUAAAGCUCUGUUGUUAAGGAAGAACGAGUGUGAGAAUGGAAAGUUCAUGCUGUGACGGUACUUAACCAGAAAGGGACGGCUAACUACGUGCCAGCAGCCGCGGUAAUACGUAGGUCCCGAGCGUUGUCCGGAUUUAUUGGGCGUAAAGCGAGCGCAGGCGGUUAGAAAAGUCUGAAGUGAAAGGCAGUGGCUCAACCAUUGUAGGCUUUGGAAACUGUUUAACUUGAGUGCAGAAGGGGAGAGUGGAAUUCCAUGUGUAGCGGUGAAAUGCGUAGGUAUAUGGAGGAACACCGGUGGCGAAAGCGGCUCUCUGGUCUGUAACUGACGCUGAGGCUCGAAAGCGUGGGGAGCGAACAGG
rnacentral:rRNA from 1 species